rnacentral:lncRNA from 1 species
CGGUCCCGCCCUGGCGCCCUGCUCUUCCGCCGCGGCGCGCUCCUGAUGAGUGCUGUGUCCAGGAUGAUCAUGAAUUCAAGCUCUGGAGCUUGAGGUGAACUGGUCCGACUUCCAGAAGAGAAGCUCACUUACAGGCCCUCCAAGCAGUACAACGAGAGGUCUGGAAGCCGCUGGCCGCUGCUUAUCAGGACCAGCUAGAUCAGCCAGUGAUACCACACCCCUUCCGUGUCGGUGACGCCGUGUGGGUACGCCGGCACCAGACUAAGAACUUGGAACCUCGCUGGAAAGGACCCUACACCGUCCUGCUGACCACCCCCACCGCUCUCAAAGUAGACGGCAUCUCUGCGUGGAUACACGCCGCUCACGCAAAGGCGGCGACAACUCCUCCGGCAGGAACAGCAUGGAAGGUCCAGCGUUCUCAAAACCCCUUAAAGAUAAGAUUAACCCGUGGGGCCCCCUGAUAGUUAUGGGGAUCUUGGUGAGGGCAGGAGCCUCGGUACAACGUGACAGCCCUCACCAGGUCUUCAAUGUCACUUGGAGAAUUACCAACCUAAUGACAGGACAAACAGCUAAUGCUACCUCCCUCCUGGGGACGAUGACAGACACCUUCCCUAAACUAUAUUUUGACUUGUGUGAUUUAGUGGGAGACAACUGGGAUGACCCGGAAUCCUCUAGUGGACAUGGUUGCCGCUCUCCCGGGGGAAGAAAAAGGACAAGAACAUUUGAUUUCUAUGUUUGCCCCGGUCAUACUGUGCUAACAGGGUGUGGAGGGCCGAGAGAGGGCUACUGUGGCAAAUGGGGAUGUGAGACCACUGGACAGGCAUACUGGAAGCCAUCAUCAUCAUGGGACCUAAUUUCCCUUAAGCGAGGAAACACUCCUAAGGGCCAGGGCCCCUGUUAUGAUUCCUCAGUGGUCUCCAGUAGCGUCCAGGGUGCCACACCGGGGGGUCGAUGCAACCCCCUAGUCCUAGAAUUCACUGACGCGGGUAAAAGGGCCAGCUGGGACGCCCCCAAAGCAUGGGGACUAAGACUGUAUCGAUCCACAGGGACCGACCCGGUGACCCUGUUCUCUUUGACCCGCCAGGUCCUCAAUGUAGGACCCCGCGUCCCCAUUGGGCCUAACCCCGUGAUCACUGAACAGCUACCUCCCUCCCAACCCGUGCAGAUCAUGCUCCCCAGGCCUCCUCAUCCUCCUCCUUCAGGCGCGGCCUCUAUGGUGCCCGGGGCUCCCCCGCCUUCUCAACAACCUGGGACGGGAGACAGGCUGCUAAACCUGGUAGAAGGAGCCUACCAAGCACUCAACCUCACCAGUCCCGACAAAACCCAAGAGUGCUGGCUGUGUCUGGUAUCGGGACCCCCCUACUACGAAGGGGUGGCCGUCCUAGGUACUUACUCCAACCAUACCUCUGCCCCGGCUAACUGCUCCGUGACCUCCCAACACAAGCUGACCCUGUCCGAAGUGACCGGGCAGGGACUCUGCGUAGGAGCAGUUCCCAAAACCCAUCAGGCCCUGUGUAAUACCACCCAGAAGGCGAGCGACGGGUCCUACUAUUUGGCCUCUCCCGCCGGGACCAUUUGGGCCUGCAGCACCGGGCUCACUCCCUGUCUAUCUACUACUGUGCUUAACUUAACCACCGAUUACUGUGUCCUGGUUGAGCUCUGGCCAAAGGUAACCUACCACUCCCCUGAUUAUGUUUAUGGCCAGUUUGAAAAGAAAACUAAAUAUAAAAGAGAGCCGGUGUCUUUAACUCUGGCCCUGCUGUUAGGAGGACUUACUAUGGGCGGCAUAGCAGCAGGAGUAGGAACAGGGACCACUGCUCUAGUGGCCACACGACAAUUCGAACAGCUCCAGGCAGCCAUACAUACAGACCUUGGGGCCUUAGAGAAAUCAGUCAGUGCCCUAGAAAAAUCCCUGACCUCGUUAUCCGAGGUAGUCCUGCAAAACCGAAGAGGGUUAGACUUACUAUUUCUAAAAGAAGGGGGACUGUGUGCCGCCCUAAAAGAAGAAUGCUGUUUCUAUGCAGACCACACUGGCGUAGUAAGAGAUAGCAUGGCUAAGCUAAGAGAAAGGCUAAACCAGAGACAAAAAUUGUUCGAAUCAGGACAAGGGUGGUUUGAGGGACUGUUCAACAGGUCCCCAUGGUUCACGACCCUGAUAUCCACCAUUAUGGGCCCUCUGAUAGUACUUUUAUUAAUCCUACUCCUCGGACCCUGCAUUCUCAACCGCUUGGUCCAGUUUGUAAAAGACAGAAUUUCAGUGGUACAGGCCCUGGUUCUGACCCAACAGUAUCACCAACUCAAAUCAAUAGAUCCAGAAGAAAUAGAAUCACGUGAAUAAAUGAUUUUAUUCAGUUUCCAGAAAGAGGGGGGAAUGAAAGACCCCACCAUAAGGCUUAGCAAGCUAGCUGCAGUAACGCCAUUUUGCAAGGCAUGAAAAAGUACCAGAGCUGAGUUCUCAAAAGUUACAAGGAAGUUUAGUUAAAAAAAAUAAGGCUGAAUAAUACUGAGACAGAGGCCAAACAGGAUAUCUGUGGUCAAGCACCUGGGCCCCGGCUCAGGGCCAAGAACAGAUGGUACUCAGAUAAAGCGAAACUAGCAACAGUUUCUGGAAAGUCCCACCUCAGUUUCAGGUUCCCCAAAUGACCGGGAAAUACCCCAAGCCUUAUUUAAACUAACCAAUCAGCUCGCUUCUCGCUUCUGUACCCGCGCUUUUUGCCCCCCAGCCCUAGCCCUAUAAAAAGGGUAGGAACUCCACACUCGGCGCGCCAGUCACCCGAUAGACUGAGUCGCCCGGGUACCCGUGUUCCCAAUAAAGCCUUUUGCUGUUUGCAUCCGAA